AUCCCGUUUUCACUUGCGUCGCAGAAUAUGUGAAGCUGUACGUUACGAGGUAGGGCCGACGUACGCUGGCGGUAGCACCUUGGUAUUUUGAUCUGGCAGACGGCAGGUAAAAUGCUAGUCCACCUUUCCCACUGUUCUGCUAAACGGCCGCCAAUCUGCUCAUCCCAGCCGACACCAGCGCGCCAUAUUUCUUGCAGCAAUACUUUCAGGAACAUCAACACGUUCCCCAAUAGACCCAAAGGAUCGUAAAUCCUCAUAAGGAUACGCAGCACUUCGCGUUUAGUCGGCAGUUUCGCUCCUGCCAGUAACUGCUCGUCGUUUCUAGGUACAUCAAGCUGUUCCAUCACCAAAUGCGAGUUCGAGAGCCAGUUUCUAAUCUCGAAUCCGCCAUUCGCAUGCACGUGACGUACGUCCUUCGCCAGCUUAAUUGCUUCGUCUUCAGUUUCGACACUGGCGAGCAUAUCGUCGACGUAAUGCUCCUUGACAAUACAUUCAAAGGCACGAGGAAACUCAUCUCUAUACUUUUCAGCGUUCAAAUUCUUUACAUAAUGCGCGCAGCAGGGCGAGCACGCCGCCCCAAACGUCAUAACGGUAACAACAUACACGUCUGGAGCCUUAUCAGUCUCGCCACCGUUCCAUAGAAUCAUUUGACUGCGCUGAUCCUCGGGUCGCAUAGCCACUUGAAAGAACAUCUCCUUGAUGUCUCCUACUACGCCUAUUCGAUGCUCUCGGAACUUAUACAGGACCGUCAGGAGGUCUACCAGCUGAUCUGGACCUUUGAGCAGGAACGUGUUUAAACUGACUCCGUUAGACUUGGCGGCUGCGUCGAACACUAUACGGAUUUUUCCUGGCUUGUUAGGAUUCGUUACCGGAAAUGUCGGCAAGAACCAGUCUGUAUUCCGUGUAUCAGCUAUUUCGUUUGGUGUGAGGCGCCGGAUGUAGCCCUUUGUUUCGUAAUCGUUCAUCUUGUCGAUGAUAGCAGCUCUCAACACCGGAUCUUUUUGCAUUUUUCUUUGCAGGCAUUCGAAACGUCUUAUGGCCAUGAGUUUACUUGGUGGUAGCUGAACAUUGCUAUACUUCCACAGUAAACCUGUUUCAUAACGAUUUCCUUUUAAAUGAGUCGUGGUUGCAAGGAUCUCCAACGCCUUUUCAUCAUCUUUAGAGCCAACUGGAUGGGGCAAUUUGGUAAUGCCCAUCGAAUCGAUCGCAAAAUAUUUCUUAAGCUCAAUAUCGAUUCUAUCGUCUGUGCUAUCUACACACGGGCAAACUUGUGGGCUAUGGUGGUUUAGGAAGCCAUUCGCGCCAUUACCGGUAUUCGUUGGGUACGAUCCAUACACUAUCCAGCCCAAUCGUGUCUUGGCGGCAACAGGUUCAUGUGGCUUUCCCUCACGGUAUGUCAUCGGAUUACCUAGAUGGCAGUUAUCCAUACCAAUGAGGAUCCUAGGCGUGAUGUCAGUGUAUGAAUUAAGCUUUAAGCCUCUCAAAUGAUCGAAUGUGCUUUGAAGUUUCUCUGCGCUAAGUGACUGUCUCGGUAGCGCCAGACUCUGUACGGUAUGCACAUUUGAGGCACAACGGAUGAGGAGUUCCUUGCAGGCCAAGUUCUUCUACCAAAGCAUGUUCGACGAACGUGGCGGACGAGCCGUCGUCCAAGAACGCAAACGUAUCAACUUUGCGGCCAUUGCCAUGAAGUGUUACCGGGACAUAACGGAAGAGUGGCGGCUUCGCUAACGCGGUUUGGUGGUGGUUGCUCAUAUGGUGUCCGCCGGUUCCGGCUGAUAGCGCUUCGGCUGUGGUUCUCCGACCAUCAUGAAGCAAUCUGUUGUGUAGGAAAACGCAACCAUUUGUGCCACACGGCGUUCUUCUUUCACAACGAUUAAAGUGUCGUUCAAGACA